AGAAUCUAAGUGUUGUAGAUUCAAGAACUUCAAGAAAGAAAACAAAAUCAAGAAGAUAGAAGAAGAAUUCCGAGAAAGGUAGAAGAGGGAAAGAAGGAAGAAAUCACGAGGAAGAAGAAGAAGAAGAAGAAAUAAAGGGAUAGAAAGGGAAGAAAGAAGAAGAGGAGGAAGAAUAAGAAGAGAGAGGAGAAAUAGAGGGAAAGCGAGAAGAGAAGUAAUAAGAAAUAAAGGGAAGAAAUCUCAGGGAAGAAGGACGAAG
rnacentral:misc_RNA from 1 species